GCCCGCGUGACGUCACUCCUGAGGCCCCACCUCUCCUGCACAGCGCCACCUGGCCCCCGUAGGUGCCCCAGUCGGGGGCAGAAGCCUGGGGAAUCAUCAGUCUGCCGUUUACAAAUGGGGAAACUGAGGCCUGGAGGCAGGGGAUAUAGCUGGGCUAUAAGCCCUCUUGCCUGAACCCCCAGAGCUGGUGGUGCUUGGUGCGAAGUGUAAAACGAACAAUACUCAAGGGUCCAGAUGACCAGGCUGUAAGUUCUUUGGGAACAAGUGUAGACUUCCUCGUAUUUCUGUGACUCACUAACUCAGCCAGGUCCAGAACAGCAUUUCAACACGCAGGUAGCAAGACUCCUGCACUAGAGAAACCCUUGCAAAUGUGCACAAGGAGCCUGACCAAGGUCUUGAUGGCAGCAGUGAUGUGAGGGCAAGAAACUGGAAAUAGCCUACAGGUCCACCAAGAGGAGGAUGGAGCCCUAACCGGUUUGGCUCAGUGGCUAGAGCAUCGGCCUGCGGACUGAAA